rnacentral:rRNA from 1 species
GACGAACGCUGGCGGCGUGCCUAAUACAUGCAAGUCGAACGCUUCUUUCCUCCCGAGUGCUUGCACUCAAUUGGAAAGAGGAGUGGCGGACGGGUGAGUAACACGUGGGUAACCUACCCAUCAGAGGGGGAUAACACUUGGAAACAGGUGCUAAUACCGCAUAACAGUUUAUGCCGCAUGGCAUAAGAGUGAAAGGCGCUUUCGGGUGUCGCUGAUGGAUGGACCCGCGGUGCAUUAGCUAGUUGGUGAGGUAACGGCUCACCAAGGCCACGAUGCAUAGCCGACCUGAGAGGGUGAUCGGCCACACUGGGACUGAGACACGGCCCAGACUCCUACGGGAGGCAGCAGUAGGGAAUCUUCGGCAAUGGACGAAAGUCUGACCGAGCAACGCCGCGUGAGUGAAGAAGGUUUUCGGAUCGUAAAACUCUGUUGUUAGAGAAGAACAAGGACGUUAGUAACUGAACGUCCCCUGACGGUAUCUAGCCAGAAAGCCACGGCUAACUACGUG